GUAAGAAUGCCAGAAUAAAUGGGAUUGAUUUAGGUUUAAUUUAUGACUUUUAGUCUUCUUGCU
rnacentral:tRNA from 1 species